rnacentral:rRNA from 1 species
ACGAACGCUGGCGGCAUGCCUAACACAUGCAAGUCGAACGAGACCUUCGGGUCUAGUGGCGCACGGGUGCGUAACGCGUGGGAAUCUGCCCUUGGGUUCGGAAUAACAGUGAGAAAUUACUGCUAAUACCGGAUGAUGUCUUCGGACCAAAGAUUUAUCGCCCAGGGAUGAGCCCGCGUAGGAUUAGGUAGUUGGUGGGGUAAUGGCCUACCAAGCCGACGAUCCUUAGCUGGUCUGAGAGGAUGAUCAGCCACACUGGGACUGAGACACGGCCCAGACUCCUACGGGAGGCAGCAGUGGGGAAUAUUGGACAAUGGGCGAAAGCCUGAUCCAGCAAUGCCGCGUGAGUGAUGAAGGCCUUAGGGUUGUAAAGCUCUUUUACCAGGGAUGAUAAUGACAGUACCUGGAGAAUAAGCUCCGGCUAACUCCGU